ensembl:lncRNA
UUUUUUUUUUUUUUUUGUCUUUUUGUCUUUUUAGAGCCACACCAGUGGCAUAUGGAGGUUCCCAGAAGAAGGCAGAAGAUGAAAAAAUUUAAAAAUGUACUUGUAAUUAUUGAUUUUUUAAAAAUACAUCACUAAGUAGGUACAGAAAGAACAAUUUAUGAGAUCCACAAGGGCCAUCUAGAAAUUUCAUGAAAACAUGACUAAAAUUUCCUAAACUUAGAAAACAGCAUUUCAGGAGCUCCCGUCAUGGCUCAACAGUAAUGAACCUGACUAGGAUCCAUGAGGAUUCAGGUGUGAUGCCUGACUUCGUUCAGUGGCUCAAGGAUCCGGUGUUGCUGUGAGCUGUGGUGCAGGUGGCAGAUGCAGCUCAAAUCCCAUGUUGCUGUGGCUGUGGUAUAGGAUGGCAGCUAUAGCUGUGAUUCCACCCCUAGCUUGGAAACUUUCACAUGUCACAGGUGUGGCCCUUAAAAGGAAAAAAAAAAAAGAAAGAAAGAAAAUGAAAUUUCAAAUCCACAUAAAUUAAUUCCAACUGCUUCUGUAAACAACAGCCAUUUCACCCCCACCCCCAAGAUCAGUACAUUAGUCAUCACUCUCCUAAAGCUUUGAAUCUCCAGGAAGGGCAUGUAUUUGCCCAUCCCACUGGGUUUGGUCAUGUGACUUGCUUUGGCCAAUGGGACGCUGGCAGUUGAAUGACUUGCACAGAGGCUUAAAAUUUGUUUUCAUGAUAUGGCUUGCCCUCUUGUGCUCUAGCUACCGCUGUGAGACAAACAUGCCCUGGAUUGUCCUUUGGGUUUAGAAAAGUGAGUGAACAGUGCUGCUCCAACAACCUGCAGAGCUGCUCCAAAUGACUGGAUGAUGCAUGAGAGAGAAGUAAAUGUUUUAAGGUAGUGUGCCACUGAGUUUUGGGAUGAUGGGUUUACAAAACAUUAUAGUGACAAUAAUAGAAAAAAGAAGCUUCAUAUUGAAUUUGGGGUGGUGCCAUAUUUUUCUUAAGUAUUAAAUUAAACUUUAAGUUUGGUGGCAGACAUUACUGGUUAAACGAAUAAGUCUUGUUCGCAUUUUGCUUUUCCUUAGCCAUACUCCAAUUAGAAACAUCUAAACCAGUUUUGGCCAAUGAGAUAUAUAAGCAGAAGUCAUACGGUGGGUCUCUUGGGAAAGCUUUUUAAGUCACAGAGUAGAUUGGUAUACUCCUCUGGCUUGUUCGCUUUGCUUUUACUUCUCCUCUGACAAUUACAAGUGCAGGAUAUCUGGAGAGGCAACAGAUAUCACAGAGACACAGAAAAGCAAGCCAACAACUGAAGGACAACAAAACAGGAAAAGAAACCAGAGGAUGAUCUACCAACCUGUCUUGCUUACUCCAGUCUUCUUGUUUAACCAGAAAAAUAACUCCAUGUUUAAGUUCUCUAGCAAGGUUUAUUGUUAUUUGCAACCAAAAGUAACAUUAAUCAGUACUUGAAAGGAUAUGUAGAUAGGAAGAUAAAUAGAUAAAACUGAAUUCAAAUGAUCAAAAAUGAUGCAAAAUUGUACCUAGAAAUAUUAUUUGUCUCAGUCUAAUAUUAAACAUUAGGUUGAGAGAAUGAUCAUUUUAGCUAAGAAUAUAUAAUUACUUGUAAAUGAAUUCAAAACUUCAGUUUUUAUAUAGUAGAUUUUCUUUUCCAUCAGUAGACAUAACACUCACGAUUUAUCAAUUAAACUAUACUUCGACAGAAUUAAUUGACAGAAUCAAUUUUAUUUUAUAAUUUAAAGUUUGGAAUUCUUUCCCCCAUGUGAAUAAUUUUUCAGAAGAUUAACCAGAAAUAGUAUCAAAACUUGAUGGCAUUUUUACUACACUAAUUGCACAUGGUUGGGGCUUUAAUUUUUAGAAUAAGCCAUAAUGUGUGAUGGACGAGAUUUCAAUUGGGUGGAGACCCUCAACUUUGUGAUUGUAGAAAUAGAUGGCACAAUUAACAUGGUAAAACGUCAACCUAAGAUUCACUCUGAUCCAAGCUAUCUUUUUCAAUGUCAUCUUUUUCUAUACAGCAGCAGAUUCUCCAUGAAAGCAUACCCUUCAAUUUCCUACUUGCAUUUGAUGCAUGUAAGUAAAUGUAUUCAAUGAGUUUCAAGUGUCAGAGAGUGCUAUAAAGUGAAGGAAAAUUAUGGUACAAUGGCUAUAACUCAUGAGGAGUAAUAAGAGGAGAGAGUGUCUAGAACAUUCGACUGAAAAUGGAAGAGAUUAUAUCCUGGUGAAUGGAGUUAAUUCCAAAUAUAUUACAGUGUGGUUUUCUAUCUUGUGUACUCUCUCCAACUAUAUUAAUAAAUGAAAGAAUGAUGAAUAGUUCUGGGAACUUGUAGAGAAACUUAUUAAUAUUUCAACAUCAUCACUGAGUAUCUGUGUCAACACACAUCAAAAAUGCAUGAGAAAUGACUACCUAUACUCCCUAGUCACACUCAUUAAGAAUAUAUGCAUGAGAAAUAUAAAUGGUAUACAUGAAUUUACAAUGCGAUUUCUGGUAGGACACAAAGCAAGAAAAAAGCUACACGAAGAUCUCACAUGGGGAGGUACGUCAAGCAAGUGGCAGUUAAUACUUGAAAUCAGUUUUGUGUAUGCUGUACGGUCACAUGAAAUAUUACUAGAUGUUAAAUUGUGAGUCAUCUCAGUAAUUACUAGCACUAAAUUUUUUAAAAAAUAUAUAAAACUAGCAAAAAUACACAGCUCACUCUCAAAGUAGCUCAUCCAUUCUAUCUAUGAUGUAACUUUGGAAUCCCCUAAUUAAAAAAUAAAAAAUAAGAGGUUUGCCUUUAAAAAGUUUGAUUCCUAUUUAUUUUGAAAUUGAUCACCAAGGAGGAAUAAGUUCCCAUUAGAAUGAGGCAUGGCAGUUUAAAAAACAAAUCAACAUUCAGUUAACAAUUUCCAAGUGGUUAGGAGAGCCAAACAAAUAAUCUGUUUAUAUCCAUAGUAUAUCAAAAGAAGAUGUUCAGUUCAGUUGGGGUUGGGGGGAGGUCAAACCCACCGUGCAGCAUUAUGCAUAGACUAUAAAAUGCCUACCACAGAGAUGAGACAUAAAUCACUCUUAAAACCGCAACAUCUGUUUAGUAGUUUUCAUAGACGGAAACUUUUCUUUUAUAUGACUUUUUAAUCACCAAAAAGAUUCAUGCACAAAAAAUUCUGAGGAUAAGCUCUCACUUACACUACAGUUGCAUGAUUUUCAGGGAAAAAGUACUAAUGGAACCAUUAGUGAUAAUGUACAUUAAAAAAAAAAAACCUUUCUAGGAUAAUAAAUACUUUUGACUUAUUAAGGGAUACAAAAUUAGAUUUCAAGAACCCAGACCAAAAAGAAGUAUGUACAGAGGAAACACACAUUUUGAAAUUAAAAAAAAAAAGUUGUUUUGUAUUUACUUUUUGUUUGUGUGUGUUCACUGAUUUUUGUUUUGGUUAAAUAACUGCAGUUUCCCUUAGAAAAAGAUGACUUUCCUCAGAGCCUCGAAGGAAGAGCCUGAGUGGAUGAAGAGAUUUAGUCCUGACUCCCUCUCCCUAGGGAUGGGAUGGAUGUUAGAUAAUUAGUUGGCAUUUAUGGAGCUCGGUUUCUUCUGUAAAAUUAAGGAAUUCUCAUUAACAAUCUCUAGUGGUCAGUGAGUUUAUACAUUCCAGAAUAUUCCUCCCUUAGAGGAAUCUGUGAUUCCCUCUGCCUGGAGUGCAGUUCCUUUAGGUAUCCUUGUGACUUGACCUCAUUCAUGCCUCUUUAGGUCUCUCCAAACAUAUAAUCUCUCAGAGACGUCUUUAAAUGCCUUAUGUGAACUGCCUACCACCUCCACACUGCCCAGCACCCAAGUCCUGCUUUCCCUCCCUCCACAGCACUUACUUUAUUCAGAGGUAUUAUAUGUUUAUGGUCUGUUUCCUCCUACCCCCUCCACUAGAACAUAAGCACCAGGAAAUAAGUAAUUUUGUCUAUUCUAUUCAAUGCUGUUCUAGUAUUUAAAAAAGUACCUAGUCAGGUGCUGUGCGAGCAGCUCUGGAGAUACAAGGAGAACUAGGACAUGCUAUCUGCCCUCGGAGUAGCCAAUAUACUAAAAAGUCUUAUAUGUAUGGACACAAGAGUAUUCAUAUGUAUAUACAUUUAUAUUUAUACACAUAUAUGGAAAGAGAUGCAUAUGUAUACAUAUAAAGAUGUUUAUGUAUAAAGUUCUUUAUCUUUCUUUCUAUCUAUCUAUCUAUCUAUCUAUCUAUCUAUAUAUAUAUAUAUAUUGUUUAGAGCCACACUCAUGGCAUAUGGAAGUUCAAGUUCCCAGGCUAGGGGUCAUAUCAGAGCUGCAGCUGCCAGUCUAUGCCACAGCCACAGCAAUGCCAGAUCUACGUCUGCAACCUAUACCACAGCUCACAGCCACACAGGAUCCUUAACCCACUGAGUGAGGGCAGGAAUCGAACCCUCAUCCUCAUGGACACCAGUCUGGUUGGUUACCACUGAGAACAAUGGGUGCUUUCCUAUAUAUCAAUAUAUCUUUAUACCCCAUCAAUAUAUAUCUGGGUCUAACCAUGGAAGCUGCAUGCAGCUAGGCACUGCUGUUCUGUAUCCCCAUAUAGACUUUACUGUAAAUGGCAAGUUUUGGGAUGUGCAGUGUUCAACCUGCACGACCAUACCCAGCUUCCUUAAGACUGACACCUGUAAAACACAAAGUUGUUGAUGCCAUUCCCAUCUAAAAACUAUUGAUGCCUCCCCACUGUCUACAUAAUAAAUUCAUCUUUCACAACCAAGUUCCUACCCACCUCCCAAGUAGCUUCAUCUCCUAGCUCUCUGCCACACUUUCUUCACACCAGUCACUAUGAACCAAACACCCU